UAUCCAUACAGGUCUGGAGAUCUGUACAGACAGGCAGGAAGUGACAUAGCUGGACAGAAAGAAAAUAUAAUCAGGGACAAAAAGGAAAUUGUGUUCUCCUCUCUGCAGAGUCAUUGAUCAUUCACCAUGUAAGACACAAGAGGAGGACCCUUUCACCGCCUGCAUUUCUGGUGGCUAGCAUGACCUCUGAUCCUGUAUGGAGUCCCUGUCCAAGUUGGGGUCUGGCCUUCUGGAAGCUAAGUUAGCUGUUGGUAAAGUAUGGGGUCUCUG
rnacentral:lncRNA from 1 species